rnacentral:rRNA from 1 species
AGUGAACGCUGGCGGUAGGCCUAACACAUGCAAGUCGAACGGCAGCACAGUAAGAGCUUGCUCUUACGGGUGGCGAGUGGCGGACGGGUGAGGAAUACAUCGGAAUCUACUUUUUCGUGGGGGAUAACGUAGGGAAACUUGCGCUAAUACCGCAUACGACCUACGGGUGAAAGCAGGGGAUCUUCGGACCUUGCGCGAUUGGAUGAGCCGAUGUCGGAUUAGCUAGUUGGCGGGGUAAAGGCCCACCAAGGCGACGAUCCGUAGCUGGUCUGAGAGGAUGAUCAGCCACACUGGAACUGAGACACGGUCCAGACUCCUACGGGAGGCAGCAGUGGGGAAUAUUGGACAAUGGGCGCAAGCCUGAUCCAGCCAUACCGCGUGGGUGAAGAAGGCCUUCGGGUUGUAAAGCCCUUUUGUUGGGAAAGAAAAGCAGCAGGUUAAUACCCCGCUGUUCUGACGGUACCCAAAGAAUAAGCACCGGCUAACUUCGUG